GUGGCCUAGUGGUUACAGCGUCCGCCUCGAAUGCGGAAGGUCGUGGGCUAAAUCCCCGGGUCAAGUCA